rnacentral:lncRNA from 1 species
GUUUCCUCAAAGAGAAUGGCACCAGAGAUGUAUUGACCAAGGCCUGGAACUGUAACAAGGAGGGUACGGUAUGCCUGGCGGUUAGCUUCAGUAUUCUCUAGCCCAAUUGAAGCCAAACGCUUCCCACAGGUAGCAUUGGACUCAUCCAUAGCCAAAAUACCCCUCCCUGGUGAAGCAACGAUUUUCUGUUUCCACACGCAGCAAAAUAUUAUCAACAAUGUGAAAACCAUACUUUGGAAGCAAACAAGAACAACCCCAAAGAUUUAGCUUCUAAAGUAGAAAACAAAGUGAAGUUAUAUUCAUUGAUUAGAAUAGUUCAUAACUACAACACUUAGGCACAUAUU